rnacentral:rRNA from 1 species
AUGGGCGCCGUCGGUGAGGUCCUUCAGGGCAUGCCGGUGCUCCUCGCAUCGCCGCCGUGGUCGCUCCAAUCGCCGGUAUUAUCGUCUGUAGAGAGGGAGCGGCAGGGAGGAAGGCAAAAAGGUGGGCACCCGAUGGAAUCGAGACGGUCUGGUCGCAACUACAACGAGUCCACCAGGUCCAAGCCCGCGUGGCUUCGCCCGGUCUUCAAUUCCCCAACUGCCCCUUGCCACGUAUGCAAAACAGCCGUCCCAAAACACCAAGCAAGCCAUCAGGAGGUGCUUUGCCCGGUUUGUGCAGGUUCAGGGGAUUAA